GAUGAACGCUGGCGGCGUGCUUAACACAUGCAAGUCGAACGGUGAAGCCAAGCUUGCUUGGUGGAUCAGUGGCGAACGGGUGAGUAACACGUGAGCAACCUGCCCUGGACUCUGGGAUAAGCGCUGGAAACGGCGUCUAAUACUGGAUAUGAGGCGCGACCGCAUGGUCAUGUUUGGAAAGAAUUUCGGUCUGGGAUGGGCUCGCGGCCUAUCAGCUUGUUGGUGAGGUAAUGGCUCACCAAGGCGUCGACGGGUAGCCGGCCUGAGAGGGUGACCGGCCACACUGGGACUGAGACACGGCCCAGACUCCUACGGGAGGCAGCAGUGGGGAAUAUUGCACAAUGGGCGGAAGCCUGAUGCAGCAACGCCGCGUGAGGGAUGACGGCCUUCGGGUUGUAAACCUCUUUUAGCAGGGAAGAAGCGAAAGUGACGGUACCUGCAGAAAAAGCGCCGGCUAACUACGUGCCAGCAGCCGCCGCGGUAA
rnacentral:rRNA from 1 species